UCCCUGGUGGUCUAGUGGUUAGGAGUCAUUGCUCUCACCACCGCGUCCCGGGUUCGAUUCCCGGUCAGGGAA
rfam:Mus musculus chromosome 12, GRC primary reference assembly.